rnacentral:ncRNA from 1 species
GAGUAGAAAUCUGCGCGUAAAGUGCCGGGCGGACGGGGAGUUGCCGCCGGGACGAAAAGGGUCAUUCCCUUGCGGUGCAGGUUUCGCAUCCCGCU